CCUAGAACGUGGGGACGACAGGAUUAAUCCCUGGUAUCCACGCCGUAACGUUGGGACUAGGUGUUGGCGACAUUCCACGUCGUCGGUGCCGCAGCUAACGCAUUAAGUUCCCCGCCUGGGGAGUACGGCCGCAAGGCUAAUACUCAAAGGAAUUGACGGGGGCCCGCACAAGCAGCGGAGCAUGUGGCUUAAUUCGACGCAACGCGAAGAACCUUACCAAGGCUUGACAUAUACCGGAAAGCAUCAGAGAUGGUGCCCCCCUUGUGGUCGGUAUACAGGUGGUGCAUGGCUGUCGUCAGCUCGUGUCGUGAGAUGUUGGGUUAAGUCCCGCAACGAGCGCAACCCUUGUUCUGUGUUGCCAGCAUGCCCUUCGGGGGUGAUGGGGACUCACAGGAGACUGUCCGGGGUCAACUCGGAGGAAGGUGGGGACGACGUCAAGUCAUCAUGCCCCUUAUGUCUUGAGCUGCACACGUGCUACAUGGCCGGUAAAUGAGCUGCGAUGCCGCGAGGCGGAGCAAU
rnacentral:rRNA from 1 species